GUCACUAUGGGUUAGUGGCAACCCGCCCAUGGAGGUCUAAACGCCGAAGUGAGAUGGUCGAGGGUUCGAGUCCCUCAAGUGACA